rnacentral:rRNA from 1 species
GACGAACGCUGGCGGCGUGCUUAACACAUGCAAGUCGAACGGAAAGGCCCUGCUUUUGUGGGGUGCUCGAGUGGCGAACGGGUGAGUAACACGUGAGUAACCUGCCCUUGACUUUGGGAUAACUUCAGGAAACUGGGGCUAAUACCGGAUAGGAGCUCCUGCUGCAUGGUGGGGGUUGGAAAGUUUCGGCGGUUGGGGAUGGACUCGCGGCUUAUCAGCUUGUUGGUGGGGUAGUGGCUUACCAAGGCUUUGACGGGUAGCCGGCCUGAGAGGGUGACCGGCCACAUUGGGACUGAGAUACGGCCCAGACUACUACGGGAGGCAGCAGUGGGGAAUAUUGCACAAUGGGCGGAAGCCUGAUGCAGCAACGCCGCGUGCGGGAUGACGGCCUUCGGGUUGUAAACCGCUUUCGCCUGUGACGAAGCGUGAGUGACGGUAAUGGGUAAAGAAGCACCGGCUAACUCCGUG